rnacentral:rRNA from 1 species
CUACGUGCCAGCAGCCGCGGUAAUACGUAGGUGGCAAGCGUUGUCCGGAAUUAUUGGGCGUAAAGCGCGCGCAGGUGGUUUAAUAAGUCUGAUGUGAAAGCCCACGGCUCAACCGUGGAGGGUCAUUGGAAACUGUUAAACUUGAGCGCAGGAGAGAAAAGUGGAAUUCCUAGUGUAGCGGUGAAAUGCGUAGAGAUUAGGAGGAACACCAGUGGCGAAGGCGGCUUUUUGGCCUGUAACUGACACUGAGGCGCGAAAGCGUGGGGAGCAAACAGGAUUAGAUACCCUGGUAGUCCACGCCCUAAACGAUGUCAAUUAGCUGUUGGGCAACUUGAUUGCUUAGUAGCGUAGCUAACGCGUGAAAUUGACCGCCUGGGGAGUACGGUCGCAAGAUUAAAACUCAAAGGAAUUGACGGGGACCCGCACAAGCGGUGGAUGAUGUGGAUUAAUUCGAUGCAACGCGAAGAACCUUACCUGGUCUUGACAU